GUCCUUAGUUACCAGCACGUUAUGGUGGGCACUCUAAGGAGACUGCCGGUGCAAACCGGAGGAAGUGGGGAUGACGUCAAGUCAUCAUGGCCUUACGGCCUGGGCUACACACGUGCUACAAUGGUCGGGUACAAAGGGUUGCCAAGCCGCGAGGUGGAGCUAAUCCCAUAAAACCGAUCGUAGUCCGGAUCGCAGUCUGCAACUCGACUGCGUGAAGUCGGAAUCGCUAGUAAUCGUGAAUCAGAAUGUCACGGUGAAUACGUUCCCGGGCCUU
rnacentral:rRNA from 1 species